rnacentral:rRNA from 1 species
AACGAACGCUGGCGGCAGGCCUAACACAUGCAAGUCGAACGCCGUAGCAAUACGGAGUGGCAGACGGGUGAGUAACGCGUGGGAACCUACCUUACGGUCGGGAAUAGCCCAGGGAAACUUGGGGUAAUACCGGAUACGCCCUUACGGGGAAAGAUUUAUCGCCCAAGGAUGAGCCCGCGUAGGAUUAGCUAGUUGGUGAGGUAAAGGCUCACCAAGGCGACGAUCCUUAGCUGGUCUGAGAGGAUGAUCAGCCACACUGGGACUGAGACACGGCCCAGACUCCUACGGGAGGCAGCAGUGGGGAAUAUUGGACAAUGGGCGAAAGCCUGAUCCAGCAAUGCCGCGUGAGUGAUGAAGGCCUUAGGGUUGUAAAGCUCUUUACCCGGGAUGAUAAUGACAGUACCGGGAGAAUAAGCCCCCGGCUAACUCCGUGCCAGCAGCCGCGGUAAU